UCAGUCAUUUAAAUAUGAUGGUAGUCUAUGACGUAUCUGAACAUUCAUCUUUUCCAGCUCCAAGCGAAACAAAUCCACCGUCUCCAGUCACCAGCUCUAAAUCAGCUUCAGCUCCUACACAAGCAGGUUCAGCUGAUUCAACACUGAUUCCAGUCAGCAGCUCAAACUCUGAGAAGAAAUCAAGUCAAACUACAGCAGCUUCUACAGAACAAGGUACAUGAUCACUGACACACAUCAGCAGUCGAUGAACAAUGAAGUCAAACAGAGCUAAGAUGUAUUUGAUCAAAUAUGAUGCAUCAGAACUGAAAUCCUCCUCCUUAUACAGUGACACAGACUCCUCAAACCCCCGAGACAACAGCUACACAGAGAGGUAUUUCUAUAUGUCUUACUCAUCUCAGUGGUUUAAUGUGACUCUUACAGUAGAAUUGGUUUUCACAUAAAUGAUUUACUGUAGACUUUAAGAGAAGCUUAUCACUGCUCUUGAUUAAUUUGUAGACCUCAAGCACUUGUUUUUCUCUUUUACAAAAAGAAAGUCAAUGUGAAAGCUAGUUCACUUUCUUCACAAAGAUGAAUGGGACUUUGGUUCUUUUCAUUUUUUUGGACGGAACUAUUAAAAUCAUAGUGAGCAAUUUUUUAUAAUCUUUCUAUUAGGGGUUAAAGGAAAAAAAAGCCAUUUUUUUUUUUUUCUGGGUGCGGACACAUACACAGGUUCAUUCGGCAAAAAAUAAACAUUUUUCUUAAUAAUUAAUUAGUUAUCUAUCUGCCAUUGUCAUUAGCCCUUGACAGCUCAGACAACAGAUUAUGGAGGGACAUUUGAAACAGCAAUACC
rnacentral:lncRNA from 1 species